UACGUAGGUGGCGAGCGUUGUCCGGAUUUACUGGGCGUAAAGGGCUUGUAGGCGGUCCGCUAAGUCUGGUGUGAAAUCUCCCGGCUCAACUGGGAGGGGUCAUCGGAUACUGGCGGACUUGAGGGGGGUAGAGGAAAGCAGAAUUCCUGGUGUAGCGGUGAAAUGCGUAGAUAUCAGGAGGAAUACCAGUGGCGAAGGCGGCUUUCUGGGCCUACCCUGACGCUGAGGAGCGAAAGCGUGGGGAGCAAACAGG
rnacentral:rRNA from 1 species